rnacentral:misc_RNA from 1 species
UGUACGGGUUGCAUUUCGAUCCCCCGGUGGCAUCUCCUUUGGAGGUGUCGGCGGCGCUUUCGGUGUAUCUCGUCUAGUGAUGGGACGACGCAUGAGUGGUGAUUAGGAUAUGUUUUCCUAGCAGGCUCCAUGCAUCUUGCGUCGAACUGCUUGGGUCUAUCUAUUUCAUUAGUGGGUUUGCAUCGGCGUUUCCUUGUUCGGUCGCCACUACUUGUUGGGUUCCUGUGCUUGGUACUGAAUUUUGUAGCUGGAUGGAUUGCUCUUCCCCGUCAUGGUUUUUUUAUCCGCCUCCGNUUCGUUCGGCGAUGGUGGAUAUUGUGCGGGCAUCGAGGUUUUCCUCUCGAGCCGUUGUCCCCCUUCGGGUGCUUCCGGUUGAGAUGGCACGUAGAUGCUGACGUCACUCUCGGGUACGGAGAUUUUGUGGUUAUCGCAUUGNCCUUCGGCCUUUGUGA